rnacentral:rRNA from 1 species
ACCCGCUGAAUUUAAGCAUAUUACUAAGCAGAGGAAAAGAAACUAACUAGGAUUCCUUCAGUAAGGGCGACUGAAGAAGGAAAAGCUCGGCAUGUGAAUCAGUGUACUCGUCUAGUUUAGCGCACUGAAUUGUAGUUAGCCAGCCACCUGUGUGAUGACAAGUCCACCAACCAAGUUCCUUGGAAUGGGACAGUUGAGUAGGUGAUACUCCUGUACGUUGGUGCGUGCUUGUUGUCCGCAUGCAGGUGAGUUCCGAGUCGAGUUGUUUGGGAUUGCAGCUCUAAGACGGUGGUAAACUCCAUCGAAAGCUAAAUAUGGUUGGGAGACCAAUAGCACACAAGUACCAUGAGGGAAAGAUGAAAAGAACUUUGAAAAGAGAGUUAAAGAGUACCUGAAAUUGCUAAGGAGGAAGCAAAGGGAAGCAGUGAUUCUUGGCCUGGCUUAUCGCUAGUUUGUGCUUGCACAUGUUAGUAUUAUGCCUGGCUGUACCUUGUUUGAUCAGCUAUCACAUUCAGAGCAUGGAACCUGCACCGCAACUAGUUUGCGAUGUAGUGCAUCUGCUCUGGCACUGGCAGUUGUUAUUAUUUAUCAGACAAUAUGCUUCUCUUUUCCCCGUCUUGAAACACGGACCAAGG